rnacentral:rRNA from 1 species
GAUGAACGCUGGCGGCGUGCCUAAUACAUGCAAGUCGAGCGAACAGACGAGGAGCUUGCUCCUCUGACGUUAGCGGCGGACGGGUGAGUAACACGUGGAUAACCUACCUAUAAGACUGGGAUAACUUCGGGAAACCGGAGCUAAUACCGGAUAAUAUAUUGAACCGCAUGGUUCAAUAGUGAAAGACGGUUUUGCUGUCACUUAUAGAUGGAUCCGCGCCGCAUUAGCUAGUUGGUAAGGUAACGGCUUACCAAGGCGACGAUGCGUAGCCGACCUGAGAGGGUGAUCGGCCACACUGGAAAUGAGACACGGUACAGACUCCUACGGGAGGCAGCAGUAGGGAAUCUUCCGCAAUGGGCGAAAGCCUGACGGAGCAACGCCGCGUGAGUGAUGAAGGUCUUCGGAUCGUAAAACUCUGUUAUUAGGGAAGAACAAAUGUGUAAGUAACUAUGCACGUCUUGACGGUACCUAAUCAGAAAGCCACGGCUAACUACGUG